GAUGCACUCAGUGGGGGAGCCAGGAAGUAUUGAUGUUUCUGCCAGUUUAGCGUCAACACUUGCUGGUUUCCUCUCUGGAGCAU
rfam:Otolemur garnettii contig136252, whole genome shotgun sequence.